AUGAACGACACAAUGACUAUUCGGACCAGAAAAUUCAUGACCAACCGUCUGCUUCAACGGAAACAAAUGGUCAUCGAUGUCCUUCACCACGGGAAAGCAACAGUACCUAAGACAGAAAUUCGGGGAAAACUAGCCAAAAUGUACAAGACAACACCAGAUUUCAUCUUUGUAUUUGGAUUCAGAACUCAUUUUGGUGGUGGCAGGACAACUGGCUUUGGCAUGAUUUAUGAUUCCUUGGAUUAUGCAAAGAAAAUGAACCCAAACAUAGACUUGCAAGACAUGGCCUGUAUGAGAAGAAAAAGACCUCAAGGAAGCAGCGAAAGGAACGCAAGAACAGAAUGAAGAAAGUCAGGGGGACUGCAAAAGCCAAUGUUGGUGCUGUCAAAAAGUGAA